UUUAGUGGCCAAACCUCCUUGUCAAAGUCAGAUCUCAGAAACUAAGCAGGGUUAGGGUGGGUUAGUACUUGGAUGGGAGACAGCUUGAAAUACUAGGUGCCAGUGUGC
rnacentral:rRNA from 1 species